AACGCGAAAAUAUAUUAAAUGCUUUAUUUAAAUGUGAAAUGCUUCUAAGCUUAUAAAAUUUAAUUUAUAAAAGACAAACCACAAUAAAUCAAGGAUGAAUGCACUAGUUGCAAUACAGCGUGACACGAGGAACACGACACGGGGUCGCGGGGAGCCGCUGUCGCCCCAGCGGCUCGUGAUGGACUUCAGUCCGCAGGCGAGCGCCGAGGACAGCGGUGUGCUGCAGGACAAGUGUAGCGCCUUCUGGAAGUUUAUUGACACGCGGCCGGAGUUUGAUGAUUUGAAAACGGAUCCGGACUAUGAAAUAAGUCAUAAGGACUUGCCGACAAGUGGCGGCGGCCUGGCGGCAGUUACCAGCGGCCAGAGCUUCGUCAGGGAGAGGACAGCAGUGUCACUCUUGGAGCUGGUGGAGGAGAAGGGUUUAAUAGACAGAGCAUUUGAAGGGAGACUACCGUGUUCGUAUUGCUCGUCGGGAGCCCGCUUUGAUCCAGGAAGUAAAUCAUCGCCACUGCCAGCGACCUUCACCGCAGAGAGAGAGGGUGGGUCACUCACGCCAGGAGCUGCCAGCUUGGAGCUGGUGUGCGGCCGCCUGCAGCUGUGGGACCAGCUCCACCCCAAGUCCAUGGAGCCGCCGGGACAUCCUCCCCAGGUGUAGCGGGGCUGCGGCCGCGGUCGGUGAAGCUAAUCCGUCUGGUGUCACUGGAAUCUGAAUAUAAUCUCCAUAGUUAAAUAUGCCAACAUUAAUUGUUUCACUAAUUUCAAAUAGUAUCUUUGUAUACCAUCAACAUUGUGCUAAGCGGACGCGUGUCUCUCAGCUAGUAAACAUUCAUAGUCUAAGAUUCCGAUAUAGAACGAGUUUCACCGAGCUGGUUAUGAAACAUAUUUUUAUGAAAUUUAAUGUGUCAAUAAAUAUAUUGCAAACUAA